AACGAACGCUGGCGGCAUGCCUAACACAUGCAAGUCGAACGAGACCUUCGGGUCUAGUGGCGCACGGGUGCGUAACGCGUGGGAACCUUCCCUUAGGGUCGGAAUAACUCCCCGAAAGGGGUGCUAAUACCGGAUAAUGUCUUCGGACCAAAGAUUUAUCGCCUUUGGAUGGGCCCGCGUUGCAUUAGCUAGUUGGUAGGGUAAAAGCUUACCAAGGCGACGAUCCAUAGAUGGUCUGAGAGGAUGAUCAGCCACACUGGGAGUGGGACACGGCCCAGACUCCUCCGGGAGGCAGCAGUGGGGAAUGUUGGACCGUGGGCGAAGGCAUGAUCCAGCUAUGACGCGUGAGCGAUGAAGGCAUUAGGGUUGUAAAGCUCUAUUACCCGGGAUGAUCAUGACAGUACCGGAAGAAUAAGCUCCGGCUAACUACGUG
rnacentral:rRNA from 1 species